rnacentral:rRNA from 1 species
GUGGGGGAUAUUGCACAAUGGGGGAAACCCUGAUGCAGCGACGCCGCGUGAGGGAAGACGGCCUUCGGGUUGUAAACCUCUGUCGCAGGGGACGAAGGAAGUGACGGUACCCUGUGAGGAAGCCACGGCUAACUACGUGCCAGCAGCCGCGGUAAUACGUAGGUGGCAAGCGUUGUCCGGAAUUACUGGGUGUAAAGGGAGCGUAGGCGGGAGUGCAAGUUGAAUGUAUAAACUAUCGGCUCAACUGAUAGAAGCGUUCAAAACUGCACUUCUUGAGUGAAGUAGAGGCAGGCGGAAUUCCUAGUGUAGCGGUGAAAUGCGUAGAUAUUAGGAGGAACACCAGUGGCGAAGGCGGCCUGCUGGGCUUUAACUGACGCUGAGGCUCGAAAGCGUGGGUAGCAAACAGGA